rnacentral:lncRNA from 1 species
GGGGAUAUAGGAGGAAACCGCACGGACGGAGGCCGAAGCAUCCCGGCCGCACCGCUCCCCAGUUUUUAACAAGUUCGCGGGUCGUUCUGCCUUGCAGGUUUCGACAAUGAUCCCUCCGCAGGUUCACCUACGGAAACCUUGUUACGACUUCUCCUUCCUCUAAAUGAUAAGGUUCAAUGGACUCCUCGCGACGUCGCGGGCAGCGAACCGCCCACGUCGCCGCGAUCCGAACAUUUCACCGGAUCAUUCAAUCGGUAGGAGCGACGGGCGGUGUGUACAAAGGGCUCUAAAUGAUAAGGCUCAAUGGACUUCUCAUGACGUCGCGGGCGGCGGACCGCCCACGUCGUCGCGAUCCGAACAUUUCACCAGAUCAGUCAAUCGGUAGGAGCGACGGGCGGUGUGUACAAAGGGCAGGGACGUAGUCAACGUGAGUUGAUGACUCGCGCUUACUAGGAAUUCCUCAUUGAAUACCAGCAAUUGCAAUGAUCUAUCCCCAUCACGUUGAAAUUUCAUAGAUUACCCGGGCCUGUCGGGCAAGGCUAUAAACUCAUUGAAUACAUCAGUGUAGCGCGCGUGCUGCCCAGAACAUCUAAGGGCAUCACAGACCUGUUAUUGCCUCAAACUUCCGCGGCCAAAAAGGUUGUAGUCCCUCUAAGAAGCUGACCGCGAAGGGAUACCUCCGCAUACCUAGUUAGCAGGAUGAGGUCUCGUUCGAUAACAGAAUUAACCAGACAAAUCGCUCCACCAGUAAAGAACGGCCAUGCACCACCACCCAUAGAAUCAAGAAGAGCUCUCAGUCUGUCAAUCAUUACUUUUUUUUUUCCUCUAGGCAAGAGCCUAGGGUUGAAUUUUAUAUUAUUAAAAAAGCGGAAUAAAAUUACAAGGUCUGAAAAGAGGGACUAAAAUUUUAGAGUUACAUACUUCCUAUUACCAAAGUUAAGUGUUAUACUUACACUUUGUAUUAGUAAAUGCAAACUAUAAUAGAAAACGUGAUGCCAAUCCACAUAAUUGGCCUUUUCUUAAUAGGUUGUCUCCAUGCCUAUUCAACGUCACCUUUCCUUCCUCAAGGGAAUGAGCAGAAUGUGCUAAUACCACCCAUAGAGGUCGUAGUGAGUGUCAUCGCAUUAUAGGGUGGCUGCGACCUCUGAAAUUGAAAUGAAUAAUUUUGCUGCAUUGUCCCGAGAAGGCUGCGACUCUGAGCCAUAUCAAGACACACAUACCCACUGUUAUGAUAUGUUGUUAUUCUGACUGCAUUCACAUUAAUUCCUCAUGAGCUAAAGCAAGCAGCAUGCGUUACUACUCUCUUACCAACGAGCAUGCGUCUGAAUUGAUUCCCCAGUAAAGGAAUUGUUUGAAUAAAAUUCUCAUGUCUCGAGAUUCCCUUGAGGAUGCACUUCAAUUCCCUAAGCAAGCAGUAAAUGAGACUGCUUUGUAAGAGCUGCUCUCUUACCAGAUAGCAUGCGACUUCCUCUUUGAUUUGAUCCCCCGGAAAUGGAAUAAAAAAAGAAUUUGUUUGGUUCCCUAGACAGUGUCAUUUACUGCCUAGACCGAUACUGUCUUGUGAUAGUGUUAUCGAGUAUCAUGCUGCCUGUAGAUUCCCACGCGAAAAACAUCAUGCGGCUGGAUCGAUAAAUCAUUUGAAUACCAAGCAUGCGAGACAAACGAUCGGUGAAAAUUCCCUAAACCAGCAGCUUGGAGGACUGUUUCAAAACUGCUAUAUCAAGCUAAUAUGUGGCUGGAGUAAUUUAAUAAUGACCAAUCUACUUUUGUCCCUGAGCUGAACUCCAUGAGUGUAUUAAAAUCAAGUGCUAUCUUGAACAAAUAUAUGGCUGUAAAUUCCAAAGAUGAAGUCGCAUGCUGAUUUGUAUAUCCAGAAGGAUGCACAACUAGAAAGUCGCAUGCUGACCGUGACUUAGAAUAUCAAUUGUUGACCUCCAUGUUUCUUCUAUUUCUUUUGAAUGCCCUUGAUAUGAUAUCAAUGCUUUCUUGUUUGAUGACACUUGCAUAGGUUGUACCUUUGUUCAGCUGCAACAAAAUCGUUACAACUGUUUUUCCUGCAAAACAGAAAGAGAAGUUAGUGAAAUAGUUUAAGACCAUGAUGUUGUUUGUUUCUUCCUCUUUCCUUCCCUAUUUUCUUGCCACUCUUAUUCUCAGUUUUGCGCAUUGAAGCUUAUCAUCAUUUACAAUCCUUCUGCUCAGAACAUCAAGUUCCGACAAAUUGAAACACUCGAUGUUACCACUGUCUAGAGCUUGGUUUGCAAGGUGGUCUGCUAGAUUGUUUCCCUCUCUGAAAAUGUGAGAUAGUUUGAAAUUACACCCCUAUUUGAGUAUGUUGAUUUCCUCCACCGCAUCCGUAAUACUCCAUGGCGGUUUCCAUUGUCCAUCUAUUAUUAUUUGGAGCAUCAUUGAAUCUGUCUCAAGCCAAACAUUGUUGAAGUUCAUUGAUUUGCACAUUCUCAUUGCCUCUACUAUUGCCGUUGCCUCAGCUUCAUUGUUAGAGCCCUCCUUAAUUUCUCUUGCUUCUGCAUAUAUCAAGUCACCUAUUUCAUCUCUUAAACAAAAUCCAAUUGAACUUCUCCCUGGAUUCCCUCUGCAUGCUCCAUCCUUAUUCACUUUUAUCCAUCCUCUUGGGGGAAAUUCCCAUAGCACUUUAUCGAACUUUAGUCGAGGUGUGUAUUGCUCCAUCAUUGUCAAUAUGUCGAGCCACUUUUGUGGAACAUGUAAUCCUGGUUUUUUCAGUUGAACAAAUGAUUGCAGCGUUGAUGAAACUUGGUAAAUAACUCUGCUAACUGACACUGCUUCUCCAUAUUUCAAACUAUUUCUUCUCUUCCAUAACUCCCAUACAAUGCAUGCAGGUAAAGCUUGGAAGACUGACUUCAAUCUAGGUAUGGCUGAAGUCGUCCAGCAUUUUGUAAUUGCUUGAUUCAGGUAGAGAUUGGAAGACUGACUUCAAUCUAGGUAUGGCUGAAGUCGUCCAGCAUUUUGUAAUUGCUUGAUGUAAAGACAACCCUUCUAUUUGAAUUCGUGUUCUCUUUAAGAAAUAACUCCAGACACUCUUAGCUGCAUUUGAAGUGAAGAAUAAAUGAACUAAAGACUCCUCCUUAGGGUCAGCACAAUACCAACAUUUACAUGCGAUGGAGUAUCCUAUUCUACGCAAGAAAUCAUCAAGUGGCAGUUUUGCUUUCCACAUCUUCCACAAGAAGAAAGAUAUCUUGAAAGGUAAGCCAUUAGGAUCAGCACAACACCAACAUUUAGAUGCUAUGGAGUAUCCUAUUCUACGCAAGAAACCAUCAAGUGGCAGUUUUGCUUUCCACAUCUUCCACAAGAAGAAAGAUAUCUUGAAUGGUAAGCCUUUGACCCAUAUCAUCUUGUAAGCUAUCCUUGGAAUAUCUCUUCUUCGCAAGUACUCCCAUGUUGUUUUCACUGAGAAAUGUCCCAUUUCUUCAAGCAUCCAGAAAGGUGUAUCUAACUCUGCACAUUCUUUUGGGGGUCUAAUAUUCUGCACAAUGUGGUUAGCCCACUCUUCAGGUAGAGUCUGAAAUAAUUUUUCCACGUUCCAUAUACAUUUUCCAUCAUAUCAUUGACAUUGUGAAUGUCUUCAUCAAUAGUUAGCCCAUUCUUCAGGUAGAGUCUCAAAAAAUUUUCCAUAUUCUAUAUACCAUUUUCAAUCAUAUCAUUGACAUUGUGAAUGUCUUCAUCAAUGGCAAACUAUUCUGGCAUUUGGAAAUAUAGUGCUCCCAUUUCUGUCCAUUUGUCGAACCAGAAUUGAGCUGAUCCCAUUCUCAAUUUCCAGUAGAUUUGAUGCUCGAUCAAGUCCCCCCAUUGAAUCAUUUUCUUCCAAACGUGGGAUCCACCCUUCCACGGUACAAUUACAGGGUUUAAUUUCUUGCAAUAUUUUUGACACAUAAAUGCACUCCAUAAAUUGGGUUUUGUCCUAAAGUUCCACCACAAUUUGCAGAAGAGUGCCUUGGAUACAUCAUGAAGGGAUCUGAAGCCUAUAGCCCCUUCCUCAUAAGGCAUACACAGGUUAGUCCAAGAUGACCAAUGUCUUGAGCUUCCUCCCACAUUACUGCUCUAGAAAAAUUUUGAAAAAAUGCUAUGUAAUUUGGAAAUGACAUAGCUUGGAGGAUUAAUUGCUGACAGCAUAUGAAUUGGGAUACUUUGCAGAACAUUUGCAAUCAAAAUGGCCCUGCCUCCUACAGAAAGGAGUUUGCCUUUCCAUGACUGCAGUUUGUCGAUCACCUUUGAAAUUAAUCCCUGGUAGUAAUCACUCCUUCUGGCAUAAAAUAUAGGAAAACCAAGAUAGGUCAUUGGGAAACACUGUUUUCCUAUACCAGUAAUCCUUUCCACCUUGUUAAUCACCUCAUUUUUUGCUGAAUGGUGCAGAUAUAUGGCUGAUUUGACUUUGUUUACCAGUUGACCAGAUGCUGAUUCAUAUGCUUGCAGAACCUCCAUGACAAGUCUCAAUGAAGUUUCAUCUGAUGAACAGAAAAUGAUUGGUUUAUUCUUGGGCUCCAUUUUGGAAGUCCAAAUCCACUAAAGUACAGGUUAGUAUGCAGUGAGUUCAAACCUCGAGACAAUACUUCUGCUGCUAUAACGAAUAGGGUAGGUGACAGCGGGUCUCCCUGCUUAACUCCACUAGAAGAUUUGAAAAAGCCAUAUGGCUGACCAUUUAUUAUAAUAGACUACCAAUUGUUUCCUUUCAAAUCAAAUAUCAAGCCAAUAAACCCUUCAGGAAAUCCCAACUUCCUUAGCACUUUAGUCAGGAAAAGCCAUGAUAACCUAUCAUAAGCUUUUGUCAUGUCUAGCUUUAUCACAACAUUUGGACCUGCUUUAGUUCUUGCCCUGAUAUCCUUAAUGAUUUCUUGAGUUAGCAGAACAUUCUCAACGAUAUUUCUUCCCUUCACAAAUCCAUCUUGCUCCUCUGAGAUUAAGCUUGGUAAUAAUCCCUGAUAUCCUUAAUGAUUUCUUAAGUUAGCAGAACAUUCUCAACGAUGUUUCUUCCCUUCACAAAUCCAGCUUGCUCCUCUGAGAUUAAGCUUGGUAACAGUUCAACCAACCUUUAAUGAAUGACCCGCGAGAAAAUCUUGUUAACAAAGUUGCUAAAACUGAUUGGCCUCAUAUCUGCAAAGGUAGUCACUUCUUUUUUCUUUGGUAAUAAAACCAGGUUUGUGUGCUUCACAUUCUUUGGCAGUUGGUGACCGCAGAAAAAAGACUUGACCAUGUCGACUACAUCUUCUUCAAUGAUAUCCCAGCACGUUUGGUAAAAGGCUCCUGUGAAACCAUCUGGACCACUUGCUGAGUCCCCAUUGAGCCCCAUGACUGCUUUCUUCACUUCCUCAUUAGAAGGUAAAGCCAUUAAUCUCUCAUGUUGAUCAUUGUCUACCAUUGAAGGUACUUGGUUUAGAAUAUCAAAAGCAUUAGGAAUAAUUGAUCAUUAUCUACCAUUGAAGGUGCUUGGUUUAGAAUAUCAAAAGCAUUAGGAAUUGAAAUCUCAGUGAAUAAUUCCUUGUAAAAUUUUACUGCUUCUUCUGCUAUUACAUGAUCUUCUUCAAUCCAAUUACCAAGGCUAUUUUGGAUCCUUGAUAAUUUUAAAUCUCUUACUUCUCCCAUUAACUUGAGCAUGGAAAAAUUUAGUGUUUCUAUCUCCAUCUUUGAACCAUAACAUGCCUGCUUUUUGUCUCCAAAAUUGUUCUUCUAAUGCAAGAUUUUUAAGCAUUUCAUAUUGGACCAUUCGUAAUCUCUGUCUAUUUAUCUGAGUGGGAUUAACUUCUUCAUGAAUCAUUAACACCUCCUCAAGACUUUCAAUCUUCGGGAAAACAAUCUUUGUCUGUUUAUCUGUGUAGGAUUAACUUCAAAUUAUUUUUCAUGAAAUAGAACCACCUCCUCUAGACUUGCAAUCUUCUGGAAAAUGUCCCCAUAUGUAGCUCUGCUCCAGGUAGAAAGUGCAUGUUUAAGCUUCUUUAACUUGUAGUUAAAAAUUGUGAAAGGGUUAGCACUAAAAUCAGCCUUCCAAUUCUCCUUGACUACAUCUUUAAAAGAGUCAUGCUUUGUCCAGAAAUUAUGAAAUCUGAAAGACUUCUUAACUGGGGGAGUUAUUUUAUCACAUUUGAGCAGCAUGGGGUAAUGGUCGGAGCCGAUUUUGGACAAAUGAGUUACCUCAAAUCCAGGAAAGGUCUGUUGCAGUUCAUCAUUUCCUAGACAUCUAUCUAGUCUUUUGAAUAUACAGUCCUCUUCUGGACUUCCGUUCCACCAUGUGUAAAUGCUUCCUUUAAACUCCAAAUCAUUUAAAGAGCAUGAGUUUACGCAAUGUCUGAAGUCAUCUACUUUGAGGAACGAGACUGGCAAGCCGCCAAACUUCUCUUCCUCAUCCCAUAUCACAUUAAAGUCUCCUCCGACCAGCCAUGAAACAGAAAUGUGCGAUGCCAAUGAAAAUAGAGAAUCCCAUAGCUCAAUUCUUUAAAUGCGAUCACAUAUAGCGUAUACUAGCGUGAGGAUGAGUUUUGCAUGUGUUUCAGUGUGCACCAAUUUUAAAGUCAACUGUUGAUUCAUAUUAUACAGAAUAUCAACUGCAAAGAUUUCAUCAAUAAAUGCCCAAAUCUUGUUUGACACAUUCACCACAGCUUGAGCCAAACCAAUUNNNNNNNNNNNNNNNNNNNNNNNNNNNNNNNNNNNNNNNNNNNNNNNNNNNNNNNNNNNCACAGCUUGAGCCAAACCAAUUCUUGCUCUAUAUCUCUCCAUUUUGUUAGACUGCUGCAUAGGUUCAAUGAUUCCUAUGAAUUGAAAUUGAUGUUUCCAAUGCAUUGUAACCAGCCUUUGAAAUGCUUGCAUUGUAUUUACUGAUCUCACAUUCCAUAUAAUGGCAUCCAUUAGAUAUUUUUGAGUUUGGACAGAGUGCUCCUUGUUUUUACUCCCUUGGUGUGUGCAUUUGAAUUCUCUUUUGACUGGUUCUUUUUUUCUUUUGCUGGAAAUUUCACAUGUUCAAUAUGCCCUUGAGACUGAUCCCCAUGCUUAGCAACAUUAAGGAAAAUUUGAGAAGUGGAUUCUUCUUCCAAAUCUUCAUCUCUUAUUUCCGCUUGGUUCGCGGUGUUAUGUGUUUCUACUGCUGCUUCCUUAAUUGUGUUUGGAUUUGCAUCCCUUAUUGCAUAGACUUGCACUGAUUUGUCUUGGUUUUCAUCUAUACUUUGCUCUUGAUUUGCAUCUGAGUUUUCUGCUUCACUCAAUAGUUGAAUCUCAUCAAUGUGCAAAGUUCCACCUGGAUCUAUGGUAUUGAUAUUACCCUUUGAUGACUUUUUUGUUUCUGAAUUUGUGCAUUCCAUUGGGAUUUGAAUAUCAUUUGAUUUAUCAGUGCCUUUAGCCCUUUCAUCCUCAUUUUCCAAGUUUUUUUCUCCCAGUUUUUUUCUCCCAUUUCAUCCUCACUAUGCAUCAAAUCUGGAAUUUGACCAUCUUGUAAUACUUCCUCCGUUUGGUUGAGCUAUAACUUUUUUGUUUCCAAUUUUUCUUUUUCCAUGGCCCUGAAUUUGGCAAAAUCUUUAUCUUCUAGCAAUUCGUUUUCUUUGUUGUUUGCUAAUUGUUGCUCAUUAUUAGGAGGGAUAUUUUUAAGUGCUGCUUGGGCCCAUUGUUUAAUUGAAAGAUUGUUGAUAUGCUGCUCUUUCCCCAUCCCUUGUUGUAUACCAACUGGAUUCUUUUGUUGAUUGUUGGCUGAUUGCCUUUUGGACGAGCUUAGAGAUGUAUUCUUUUGUGCUACUUGGGAAGCUGAUGCAUGCACUUCCUGUUCCUUUAUCCCAUUUUCUACAUCUGUGUGUUGAAUCUCCUUGUUGUUGUUGGAUUUUUGAACGGUGUAUUCCUUUAUGACUGCCACUUGGUUUCAUACAAUUACCUCAUCAUUUUCCUUUUGUAGCACUUUAAAUUUGUUGGUAGUAUGGAUUUGUUUAUUGAAAUUGAGAUUGUUACCAAGUAUUUCUUUGCUUUGUGAAACUGAGACUUCAGUUUGUUUUUCUUUGUUUAGAGUCCAAUUGUCAUGGAUCCACCAAGUAUUUCUUUGCUUUGUGAAACUGAAACUUGAGUUUGUUUUUCUUUGUUUAGAGUCCUAUUGUCACGGACCUCCUUCCAUUCAGGAAAUUGAGGAGCCUUAGAGUCCCCAUUAUGUCUCCAACCAUCUUUUACCAAAGCAUGAUGUGCAGCUGAAUCAAUUCGACCAAAACACUCCUUCGAGACUGCAUUAUUAUGCGCAAUCAUUCCUUUGGCAACUUUUUUACCAUUUAAAAAGUCCCUAGCAUCCGCUUGAAGUUUGAAAACCUCAUCCUCCUCUAGUCCAGAUUUUUCAUUUUUAAAUCUGCAUGUCUUCUCGUCGUGUCCUUGAUGUUUGCAAUAAACACAAUAUUUAGGAAGGUUAUCGUACACAAUUUUUUGAUGUAACUUGAAAGAUUUUCCUGAAACAGAAUCUAAAAUAUGCAGUAUGAUCUUUUUAGGGUGUUUAACCAAAAGAUGUACUAUAACCUUUACUCUUGCCGCACUAUGUCUCGAUCUGUCCUGUGUUGCCUUGUCAACCGCAAGUGGUUUUCCACCAGCUGAUGCUAUUGACAUUAAUGACCUCUUAGCAAAUAAAUUUGGUGGUAAACCUGGAAGAGAAAUCCAUAUAACUGCGUUCGAUGUCUCCUCCUUCGGAUUGAAAUCGAAAGACCAUGGGAAUGUUCUGAAAAAAUAUUCAUCGCCUUGGGAUUUAAGGUAUCCAGUCGUCUUUGAAAGGAAGUGAACAUAAUCAUUGAAAAAAUCGAAUCUGACCAAUAGAUGCCUAAAUUCCAGCAAUCCCACAUUGCAAUGCCCUUCAACAUCAAAUUGCGACGAAAAAAGUGUUCGCACUUUCGAUAUAUCAGGUCUAGCAAUCCCACUUUGCAAUGCCCUUUAACAUCAAAUUGCGACGAAAAAAGUCUUCGCAAUUCCGAUAUAUCAGGUCUGCCAUAAAAAAAUUUUACAAAAAGUGCUUGGUGUAAACCUUCCUCUCUGGUGAAGUUGUUAACGUCUUCCAUUGUGAAUUGAGUUACUGGAUCCUCAUGGUAGAAAUUAACUGUGCAAAGCUCAAUUUUUGAUUGAACAGGUUGUUUAUCUUGAAUAAUUGCAGCAUAUGAUGGCUUUGAACCUUGUGUUGAAUCUGAUGGAACAUUAUUUUUAUCACUCUCUCCCACAGUCAAAAACUGGGGAGAGAUCCGCAGGCAUGGCUGUCAAAUACGGUCAAAUAUUAAUCGCAAAUCCACCAAUCAUCCAUUAUUCAAAAUAGCAUAUCUGAAAUUCUUCAAGCUACAUUGAAUGACUUAAUUUAAGAUCUUGAAGAAAUGGAUACUGAUUUGGAUAAGGAGAAGAUAUGGGUAUGAUCCCAAAGAAUAUGGGAAUAAUAUGACACUACAAUUGCCAGUAUCUACCGCCAGAAUAGUGAUAGAAUCACUAUUCACACGAUGAAUAGUGAUCAGAUUACCCUUCUUCUCUCAGAUACUUCUUCAGCAUUUCACAGUCACAAGCCAAAUCAUCUGCCUCUACUGAUUUGUUUCCUGAAACAAGUCCCAAUCGUAUAAUCACCUACUUACUUCCUCUAUAUGUUUGAAAAGGAAUAUCUACUUCUAUACUUCCGUCAAUCCUUACUAUGUCUAGACCUAGUAAGUUUCCCCGUGUUGAGUCAAAUUAAGCCGCAGGCUCCACUCCUGGUAGUGCCCUUCUGUCAAUUCCUUUAAGUUUCAUCCUUGCGACCAUCCUCCCCCCGGAACCCAAAAACUUUGAUUUCUCAUAAGGUGUCGGCGAAGUCCUAAAAGCAACAUCCGCCGAUCCCUGGUCAGCAUCGUUUAUGGUUGAGACUAGGACGGCAUCUGAUCGUCUUCAAGCCCCAACCUUUCGUUCUUGAUUAAUGAAACAUCCUUGGCAAAUGAUUUCGCAAUUGUUCGUCUUUCAUGAAUCCAAGAAUUUCACCUCUGACUAUGAAAUACAAAUUCCCCCGAUUGUCCCUGUUAAUCAUUACUCCGAUCCCUAAGGCCAUAGUAAUAGGACCGAAAUCCUAUAAUGUUAUCCCACGCUAAUGUAUACAGAGCGUAGGCUUCCUUUGAGCACUCUAAUUUCUUCAAAGUAACAGUGCCGUAGGCACGACCCGGCCAAUUAAGGCCAGGAGCACAUCGCCAGCAGAAGGGACGAGACGACUGGUGCACACCUAAGGCGGACCGGCCGGCCCAUCCCAGAGUCCAACUACGAGCUUUUUAACUGCAACAACUUAAAUAUACACUAUUGGAGUUGGAAUUACCACGGCUGCUGACACCAGACUUGCCCUCCAAUGGAUCCUCGUAAAGGGAUUUAGAUUGUACUCAUUCCAAUUACCAGACUCAUAAAGCCCGGUAUUGUUAUUUAUUGUCACUGCCUCCCCGUGUCAGGAUUGGGUAAUUUGCGCGCCUGCUGCCUUCCUUGGAUGUGGUAGCCGUUUCUCAGGCUCCCUCUCCGGAAUCGAACCCUAAUUCCUCCAAUGGAUCCUCGUUAAGGGAUUUAGAUUGUACUCAUUCCAAUUACCAGACUCAUAAAGCCCGGUAUUGUUAUUUAUUGUCACUGCCUCCCCGUGUCAGGAUUGGGUAAUUUGCGUGCCUGCUGCCUUUCUUGGAUGUGGUAGCCGUUUCUUAGGCUCCCUCUCCGGAAUCGAACCCUAAUUCUCCGUCACCUGUCACCACCAUGGUAGGCCACUAUCCUACCAUCGAAAGUUGAUAGGGCAGAAAUUUGAAUGAUGCGUCGCCGGCACGAUGGCGUGUCAGGAUUGGGUAAUUUGCGUGCCUGCUGCCUUUCUUGGAUGUGGUAGCCGUUUCUUAGGCUCCCUCUCCGGAAUCGAACCCUAAUUCUCCGUCACCUGUCACCACCAUGGUAGGCCACUAUCCUACCAUCGAAAGUUGAUAAGGCGGAAAUUUCAGUGAUGCGUCACCUGCACGAUGGUCGUGCGAUCCGUUGAGUUAUCAUGAAUCAUAUCAGCAACGGGCAGAUCCCGCGUCGACCUUUUAUCUAAUAAAUCCAUCCCUUCCAGAAGUUGGGUUUUGUUGCACGUAUUAGCUCUAGAAUUACUACGGUUAUCCGAGUCAUAGAUACGAUCAAACAAACUAUAACUGAUUUAAUGAGCCAUUCGCAGUUUCACAGUCUGAAUUUGUUCAUACUUACACAUGCAUGGCUUAAUCUUUGAGACAAGCANNGUAGAUACCAUCAAACAAACUAUAACUGAUUUAAUGAGCCAUUCGCAGUUUCACAGUCUGAAUUUGUUCAUACUUACACAUGCAUGGCUUAAUCUUUAAGACAACCAUAUGACUACUAGCCAAGUCCAAGGCGAGCACGACCGUCAUUCGUACGGAGCAUUCUUUGCGCAGAUAGGAGCCAAUGAAGUCCCCAUGCCCAUUGCUUUUACCGAAUCCAAGAGCCCAAGCAUGCUAAGUCGUGGACCAAGCCAUCGCAAGGCAAAGCCAGGAUGACCUGGGACACAACUGCAGCUUUUGGUUUACCCUGCACGUCGAACGCGAGAGGCAAAAAGCUAUCGAUUGUGCUAGAUAAUACCUUGGAAUUAGGUAGGCAACAUAGAAAACCGAUGUCGAACAAGCCUAAUUUGCACUUGUGACAUGACUGAGAUGGCAUGCGAGCUAGGACGUCGCUGCUCGAGCAGGGAUCCAACCUAGCCACACAAGCCAAAUACCACUCAUGUGUCGCACGCACACUUGCCUCGCCGAUACAAACCGAUACAAGCCCCAACACAUGAUGUGCAGCCAUGUGUUGUUGUCGAUGCCAACAUUGCAAAGCAAACGAACACUUGCCUCCCCGAUACAGAGCCAACACCAGCCCCAACACAUGACGCAGCCAUGUGUUGUUGCCGAUGCCAACAUUGCAAAGCCAAUACAAGCCCCGCAAAGCACGAAUAGGGGUUUUGAACAACGCCAGUCACAACCCAGAACAACCGAUGGCAAUAGGCAAUUUAAUGAGCUUCGCCCAAUGCGCAUGGCACCUUGCAGCGCUACUUGCACGAUGCUUUUCUGUUCCAUUGCGAAAAUCCAUCAGCCGCCACGAGCGAUGUCGCCUUCCGAUGUUUUCCGCAACAACUGAUGGCAAUCAGCAACUUAGUAAGCUUCGCCCCGUGAGCAAGGUACCUUGCAGCGCUACUUGCACAAUGCUUUUCCAUUUUGUUGCAAAAAGCCAUCAGCCGCCACUAGCGAUGUCGCCUCCCGAUGUUGCCCGCAAUAACCGAUGUCAAUCGGCAACUUACUAAGCUUCACCCCAUGCGCAUGGCACCUUGCGGCGCUACUUGCACGAUGUUUUGCCAUUUUGUUGCCAAAAGCUAUCAGCUGCAAGGAGCGAUGUCGCCUCCCGAUGUUGCCCGCAACAACCGAUGGCAAUCAGCAACUUACUAAGCNNNNNNUGCGGCGCUACUUGCACGAUGCUUUGCCAUUUUGUUGCCAAAAGCCAUCAGCCGCCACAAGCGAUGUCGCCUCCCGGUGUUGCCCGCAACAACCGAUGGCAAUCAGCAACUUAUUAAGCUUCGCCUCGUUCGCACGGCACCUUGCGACGCUACUUGCACGAUGCUUUGCCAUAUUGUUUCCAAAAGCCAUCAGCUGCCACGAGCAAUGUCGCCUCCCAAUGUUUCCCGCAACAACCGAUGGCAAUGAACAUCUAUUGAGCUUCGCCCCGUGCGCACGGCACCUUGCGACGAUACUUGCACGAUGCUCCGCUGUUCAUUGUCAAAAUCCAUAAGCCACCAUGUAAGGGGGUUUAUAGACACAAACCAGAACAAUCGAUGGCAAUAGACAACUUACAAAGCUUCGCCCCAUGUGCACGGCAUCUUGCGGAGCUACUUGCACGACGCUCCACCGUUACAUUGCCGAAAGCCAUCAACCGCCAUGAGUGAUGUUGCCCGCAACAACCGAUGGCAAUCGCCAUCUACUGAGCUUUGCCCCAUGCGCAUGGCACCUUGCGGGGCUAGUUGCACGAUGCUACGCCGUUCGUUGUCGAAAGCCAUCAGCCGCCACAAGAGAUUCCAGACACAACCCACAACAACCGAUGGCAAUCAACAACAACUUACUAAGCUUCGCCCCAUGCGCACAGCACCUUGCAGCGCUACUUGCACGACGCUUUGCCAUUCAGUUGUCAAAAGCCAUCAGCCGCCACGAGCGAUGUCGCCUCCCGAUUUUGCCCGCAAUAUCAAAUGGUGAUCAACAAGUACUGAGCUUCGCCACAUGCGCACGGCACCUUGCGGCGCUACUUGCAUGACGCUCCACCGUUCGUUGCCAAAAGCCAAUGUUGCCUAGAGCGGUGCCACCACCAGGCGUACUACAAGGCCAUACGAGUACUUGCCGGCACGGUUUGGGAACAUCGAGGACGUAGCACGGAUAAGCCGUGCAUGCACCCAAUGCCCACGCCCCAUGCCAUCGUCCCCCAUGCAUGCCCGCUCCUUCCAGGCAGCAAGCACCUGAGGUGCCUCUUAACACCUCAACCCCCGUUAUAUAUACUUAAAAAAAAACAAGUUUCAAGAGUAGACAUGUUUUGGCCAGAGAAUCAUAAUAGACAUGUACUACACCAAAUAGCACAAACCAAAGUACAACUUGGCUAAGAUAUUAACAAAUGACUAUUAAACAUUGUAAAUGAUACUUUUUACAAAAAAUUAACAUAUAAAAGAGUAAAUAUUUUUAUUAAAAAGUGACACAAAAAUAAUUUAAAAUAACAAAAAAAUGCAUACAAAUGCAUAAAAAUUCCUAAAAAAUAUAUUAAAAAAUAGGAAAAAUACAUAAUAUUAUUAUAAAAGCAUACAGAUGACCAACCUCCAAUAAGCACAAGGCACCUCCAUUGUCGCAACCACAACAAGUGAUUCUGAUUUGAAAAAUCCGCCCCUAACCACAAAGCGUCGACCAAACGUCGCUGGUGGAUACCGCUCGAUCCACCGCGACUUUCCACCACCGCCAUCAAAGACCACAAACAUCAUUGCGCUUGACAUGUUGCCCAACCACAACAAGUGAUUAGGAUUUGAAGAAACUGCAGCCAACCACCAAGCGUCGACCAGCCAUCGCCGGACGCUACCGCUCGAACCACCCCGACUUUCCACCACCGCCGUUAACAACCACCAACAUCAUUGGGCUUGACAUGUUUCUAAGAAUUGGUUAGCAAUAGACGUGGUGCGGCUUGGAGCGACGUGGUGCGGCUUGGUGCGAUGUUGUGCCAUGGCCAUGUCCUGACACGUACCAGGGCCAUAUCCUGCCAUGUCCUGCGACGUCCUGACUCGUGCCAUGGCCACGCCCUGCCAUGUCCNGGUCCUGACACGUGCCAUGGCCAUGUCCUGAUGCGUCUUGACACGUACCAUGGCCAUGUCCUGACGCGUCCUACGACGUUCUGAAUCUUGCCAUGGCCACGCCUUGCCAUGUCGUGCGAUGUCAUGAGUCAUGUCAUGGCCACGCCCUGCUAUGUCCUGCGACGUCCCGACUCGUGCCUAGACCACGCCCCUGCCAUGUCCUGCGACGUCCCAACUUGUGCCAUGGCCAUUUCCUGAUGCGUCCUGACACGUACCAUGGCCAUGUCCCGACGCGUCCUGCGACGUCAUGACUCGUGCCAUGGACAUGUCCUGAUGCGUCCUACGACGUCCUCACUCGUGCCAUGGCCAUGUCCUAUCGCGUUAGGACGACGUCUUGACUCGUGCCAUGGCCACGCCCUGCCAUGUCCUGCGACAUCCCGACUCGUGCAUUGGCCAUGCCCUACCAUGUCCUUCGACGUCCCGACUCGUGCCAUGGAUACACCCUGCCAUGUCGUGCAACGUCCCGACUCGUUCCAGGACCAUGUCCUAAUGUGUCCUCAUGUGUCCUGACACAUACCAUGGCCAUGUCCUGACGCGUCUUGCGACAUCCUGACUCGUGCCAUGGCCACGCCCUGCCAUGUCUUGUGACGUCCCGACUCGUGCCAUAACCACACCCUGCCAUGUCCAGACGCGUCCUGCCUGACACGUACCAUUGCCAUGUCCUGACGCGUCAUGCGACGUCUNNNNNNNNACGCCCUGCCAUGUCCUGCGACGUCCCGACUCGUGCCAUGGACACGCCCUGCCAUGUCCUGACACAUCCUGACACAUGCCAUGGCUAUGUCUUGACGCGUCAUGACACGUUCCAUGGCCAUGUCCUGACGCGUCCUGCGACGUCCUGAAUCGUGCCAUGGCCACGCCCUACCGUGUCCUGCGAUGUCCUAACUCGUGCCAUGGCCACGCCCUGCCAUGUUCUGACGCGUCCUGACAAGUGCCAUGGCCAUGUCCUGACGUGUCCUGACACGUCCUGACUCGUGCCAUGGCCACGCCUUGCCAUGUCCUGCGACGCCUGACACGUCCCUACCUGUGUCCUGCCAUGUCCUGUGACGUACUGACACGUCCGGCCAGUGCCAUGGCCACGCCCUGCCAUGUCGUGGGACGUCCUAACUCAUGCCAUUGCCACGCCUCGAAAAAACCUUGGCAUAGGCCUUGGCCUCUCAAGCGACACCCCAUAACCUUGGCAUAGGCCUCGACCUCUCAAGCAACACCUCGAAAAACCUUGGCAUAGGCCUGGACCUUUCCAGCGACACCCGGAAAAGCCUCUAGUAGUGAAAUGUGGUUUGGUAUUUCCCUCGACGUGACUAAGUGUCAAGUCACAUUGUCCACUUCAUGCACAAAUAGUAUACGUUCCAAGGUAUUGAGGACUUGUUCGAUGUUUCCAACACUUAGUAUAAUAUAGCAUCAAGGUAGGAGUGAACCUCUUAUCGGAAAAGUUAGAAAAUGAUUGGAUUGGAGGGGGAGGGACGAAUCGGAGUAGAGGACUUGUUCGACUUUUCCAACACUUAGUAUAAUAUAGCAUCAAGGUAGGAGUGAACCUCUUAUCGGAAAAGUUAGAAAAUUAUUGGAUUGGAGGGGGAGGGACGAAUCAGAGCGACAAAGGGAUGUAUCUUAGUGGAUCGUGGCAGCAAGGCCACUCAGCCACUUACAAUACCCUGUCGCGUAUUUAAGUCGUCUGCAAAGGAUUCUACCCACCGCUCGAUGGAAAUUGUACUUCAAGGCGCCCUCCACGGCUCUUCCGCCGCGAUGACUUAGCCAACGACACGUGCCCUUGGGGGCUAAAGGCCACUACUGUAGAUCGUUAAGCGGACGGCGGGCGUAUGCGUCACUUCUACCCCGGAUUCUGAGUUAGAGGCGUUCAAUCAUAAUCCAGCGCACGGUAGCUUCAUGCCACUUGCUUUUCAUCUAAGCGCGAUGACCAACUGUGCGAAUCAACAGUUCCUCUCGUACUAGGUUGAAUUACUAUUGCGACACUGUCAUCAGUAGGGUAAAACUAACCUGUCUCACGAUGAUCUAAACCUAGCUCACGUUCCCUAUUGGUGGGUGAACAAUCCAACUGGCGGCCACCGCGGCUCUUCCGCCGCGAUGACUUAGCCAACGACACGUGCCUUUUGGGGCCAAUGGCCCCUACUGCGGGUCGGCAAUCGGACGGCGGGCACAUGCUUCGCGUCUAGCCCGGAUUCUGACUUAGAGGCAUUCAGUCAUAAUCCAGCGCACGGUAGCUUCGCGCCACUGGCUUUUCAACCUAGUGCGAUGACCAAUUGUGCAAAUCAAUGGUUCCUCUCGUACUAGGUUGUAUUACUAUUGCGACACUGUCAUCAGUAGGGUAAAACUAACCUGUCUCAUGACGGUCUAAACCCAACUCACGUUCCCUAUUGGUGGGUGAACAAUCCAACACUUGGUGAAUUCUGCUUCACUAUGAUAGGAAGAGCCGACAUCGAAGGAUCAUGACACUGUCAUCAGUAGGGUAAAAGUAACCUGUAUCACGACGGUCUAAACCCAUCUCAAGUUCCCUAUUGGUGGGUGAACCAUCCAACACUUGGUGACUUCGGCUUCAAAAUGAUAGGAAGAACCGACAUCGAAGGAUCAAAAAGCAACGUCCCUAUGACGCUUGGCUACCACAAGCCAGUUAUCCCUGUGGUAACUUUUCUGACACCUCUAGCUUCGAAUUCUGAAGGUCUCAAGGAUCAUUAGGCCACGCUUUCACGGUUCGUUUCGUACUUGAAAUCCAAAUCAAACGAGCUUUUACCCUUCUGUUCCACACGAGAUUUCUGUUCUCGUUGAGCUAAUCUUAGGACAAUUGCGUUAUCUUUUAACAUAUGUGCCACCCCAGCCAAACUCCCCACCUGACAAUGUCUUCCGCCCGGAUUGGCCUGCAAGCAAGCCUUGGGUCUAAAAGAGGGGCAGUGUCCUGCUUCCGAUUCACGGAAUAAGUAAAAUAACGUUAAAGUAGUGGUAUUUCACUGUCCCCUUUUGGCUCCCACUUAUACUAUACCUCUCAAGUCAUUUCACAAAGUGGGACUAGAGUCAAGCUCAACAGGGUCUUCUUUCCCCGCUGAUUCUGCCAAGCCCGUUCCUUGGCUGUGGUUUUGCUAGAUAGUAGACAGGGACAGUGGGAAUCUCGUUAAUCCAUUCAUGCACGUCACUAAUUAGAUGACGAGGCAUUUGGCUACC